rnacentral:sRNA from 1 species
UCCUUCAGAUAACAGAAUUUAUGCUGUUCCAAAGUGCCCUACUUGUCCUGUUAAAAUGCUUUGGCUUCUUUUGUCCAAAACUGAUCAACAUGCGACAAACCUUUUCAAUGAUUGUGUGAAAGAUGCUAUCAUUGUUCCAUCUUCUUGUGACACAUGGUACUCUGACAAGCCUCUCAAAAAGCAAUCAUUCAGAGGAUUCAUGCGGGAUAUAUGUAAAUCUAUGAAAUGCCAAAUCAUUUAUAUUCCCCACUGUUUAAGAGCCACGGCUAUUUCCUCCAAUAAUGAUGCAGGAUUCCAAGCUAAGCAAAUCAUGUUUAUGUCUGGACACAGAUGCAAAGCUUCCCUGAAAACAUACAACAGAAACAUGUCAGGUGACCAAAAAAGAAAAACAAGCUCUGUUUGGCGAUAAUAAGCAACCCAGAAUAUGAAAAUACAAAACAAAUCGGACGCGUCGUACAAUAUUUUAUUACCUCUAGUCUCUAUGCAUGUUUCGCCAGAAAUUCCUCUACGUGCUUCAUUAGCCGUCGCUGACACCGCAACCUCGUCUUCCUCUUCACAACAGGAUAUCCACUCACAGUCUAACAUCACCUCCCCAAGAAGAAUGUCAGCUAAAAUUUUCUCCAGAUCAUCUUUCCACACAUGCACGUUCAAUCUUAAUUCAAUCGUUUAGGAUGCGUGGUUAACGACUGCUUCACCACCUGACAAUUCUACCUCCGCUUUGUGACGUUUACAUUUUCACCAACAAAGUGGGGAUAUUAAACCUUUACAAUUUAGUUAUUCCUUGUUAUUUAGUGAUAUUAAAAUUUUCCAUAAUUUGUUGAUUUUCAAUGUAAACAAUAAAAUUUUACUCAAAGCC